AACGAACGCUGGCGGCAGGCCUAACACAUGCAAGUCGAGCGGACCUUUCGGGGUCAGCGGCGGACGGGUGAGUAACGCGUGGGAAUAUGCCCUUCUCUACGGAAUAGUCCUGGGAAACUGGGGGUAAUACCGUAUACGCCCUUUGGGGGAAAGAUUUAUCGGGGAAGGAUUAGCCCGCGUUGGAUUAGGUAGUUGGUGGGGUAAUGGCCUACCAAGCCGACGAUCCAUAGCUGGUUUGAGAGGAUGAUCAGCCACACUGGGACUGAGACACGGCCCAGACUCCUACGGGAGGCAGCAGUGGGGAAUCUUAGACAAUGGGGGCAACCCUGAUCUAGCCAUGCCGCGUGAGUGAUGAAGGCCUUAGGGUUGUAAAGCUCUUUCAGCUGGGAAGAUAAUGACGGUACCAGCAGAAGAAGCCCCGGCUAACUCCGUGCCAGCAGCCGCCGUAAAAC
rnacentral:rRNA from 1 species